UACGUAGGUGGCAAGCGUUGUCCGGAUUUACUGGGUGUAAAGGGCGUGUAGGUGGGUAUGCAAGUCAGAUGUGAAAUUCCGGGGCUUAACUCCGGCACUGCAUCUGAAACUGCGUAUCUUGAGUACUGGAGAGGAAAGUGGAAUUCCUAGUGUAGCGGUGAAAUGCGUAGAUAUUAGGAGGAACACCAGUGGCGAAGGCGGCUUUCUGGACAGUAACUGACACUGAGGCGCGAAAGCGUGGGGAGCAAACAGG
rnacentral:rRNA from 1 species